ACAUGCAAGUCGAACGCGUCUCCGUUGAUGAUUUCAGGUGCUUGCACCUGACAUAUUUAACAUUGAGACGAGUGGCGAACUGGUGAGUAACACGUGGGUAACCUGCCCUUGAAGUAGGGGAUAACACUUGGAAACAGGUGCUAAUACCGUAUAACAACCAAAACCACCUGGUUUUGGUUUAAAAGACGGCUUCGGCUGUCACUUUAGGAUGGACCCGCGGCGUAUUAGCUUGUUGGUAAGGUAACGGCUUACCAAGGCGAUGAUACGUAGCCGACCUGAGAGGGUAAUCGGCCACAUUGGGACUGAGACACGGCCCAAACUCCUACGGGAGGCAGCAGUAGGGAAUCUUCCACAAUGGACGAAAGUCUGAUGGAGCAACGCCGCGUGAGUGAUGAAGGGUUUCGGCUCGUAAAACUCUGUUGUUGGAGAAGAACAGGUGUCAGAGUAACUGUUGACAUCUUGACGGUAUCCAACCAGAAAGCCACGGCUAACUACGUGCCAGCAGCCGCGGUAAUACGUAGGUGGCAAGCGUUGUCCGGAUUUAUUGGGCGUAAAGCGAGCGCAGGCGGUUUCUUAGGUCUGAUGUGAAAGCCUUCGGCUUAACCGGAGAAGUGCAUCGGAAACCGGGAGACUUGAGUGCAGAAGAGGACAGUGGAACUCCAUGUGUAGCGGUGAAAUGCGUAGAUAUAUGGAAGAACACCAGUGGCGAAGGCGGCUGUCUGGUCUGUAACUGACGCUGAGGCUCGAAAGCAUGGGUAGCGAACAGGAUUAGAUACCCUGGUAGUCCAUGCCGUANACGAUGAGUGCUAAGUGUUGGAGGGUUUCCGCCCUUCAGUGCUGCA
rnacentral:rRNA from 1 species